GGAGAAGUCCGAGCACGCCUAUUUCUGCGUGCGCUCUCUCGCCUGAGGGCAUGACUCUUGAUGCCGGAGCCGCAGGUAGCGCGGAUCUUCGCGCGCACGCGAACGGGAGAUGCGAUACCACGCAUUGGCGGUAAUCGUGGCAGGCGCUCGGCGGUCCAUUUCGGGAGGGGCGACCGACACGUGGCCAAGCGCUUCAAUAUCCGGUGAUUUAAAACAUGAAACGAGGUAAAGAUUUCUUUAUUAAAAAAAGAAAUAAGAGAAGGGGUUAAAAAUACGAGCGCGGAGGCUGCCAGCGGAAUCGGAGCAUGAUCUCAAUUCGAUCAAAUCCAUUGUUAAUCUUUGGACUUCCUUUCUCCGCUUUCUAUCGGGAUUAUCGGCAUUCUGCGUUUGAUUAUGAGCUGAGACUGGAGUGAUAAUAAGUCAUUAUGGCUGGCCUGGAGGAGCUGAAAAAGAGAUUAGAGCCCUUAUUUGAUUCAGAAAAAGGGCCCUUGAGUGGGAUGCCAUUGGAUCCUUGUGACUCAUAUAUGGUUAAGUAUUUCAGUACAAAAAUCAAAUUUCUAGAAAAUUGCUCUACGUUGACAUCGAGAAACAAAACCAAGUAAUGCUUUGCCAAGCUUAUGUCGCCAACAUACUGGAUAGGGCAUUGUCUUCUUGCUUAGAAUUUAUUCCCCCAGUGUUACAGUGGAAACUUUAAUCUUUGUCCCAUAAAGAGAGGAAGUAUAGUCUCUCAUGUAUGCAUGUGUGCAUGCAAGUUUUUAAGUGCGCAAUGCAUGUGUGUGGGAUUUCUUAUGAGAUUUUAAUCAUCUACAAUGCUUGCUAGAGAAAUAAGGCAAACUUUCCUGGGCUCUGCUCGCUCGUCUACGCUCCGACCAAUUCAGUAAAAAUGGAAAAAACGAGGUUUCCUUGCUUUAAGAUUAAGGUCAAUUAUUUUAAUUUGAUUUUUAAUUUAUUUAUCUUUUUUCCUUUUUGACUAUAGAAUUUGCACUACUAGGUAAUACACUUGUAAAUAGAUGACACAAAACUGAUUGGCGCACCAUUUCCUCUUACAAAGGUAGCCUCAUUUGGUGGAUUUUCCUUCCGAAAAAAACUAAGUUCUUUUGUUAUUCUUUAUGCUAAACAUGGAUAGGGAAUUUUGCUCAACUUUUUUUUUUAAAAUUUUUUUUGGCAAUACAAGCUUCUAACAUUAUUCUAUCUACAUUUACUAAGAUGUGUAAUAUAUCCAUGUUAUCAUGUGCUCGUUGACACUAAUAGAUAUCUCUUUUAAAUAUAAGUCAGUAUGCUUCAGUUUUUCCAGAAACGUGCUCAUUGUGUGCCAUACAUAUUACCAUCUAAAUCACAGCUUAUUACUUUUGAUAAGAAAGAAACAAAUUACUUUUGGUGUUCUGAAGGUAUCAGAAGGUGGAACAGUCAACUUGUUGAGCAGAUCAUGUGGAGUGUACAAUAUUAAUGAACUAGGUCUGCAAAAGCGUACUGCAGGAAUAGUGGAUGAAGUGGAAGGAGAAAAGAUGUAUCGAUGUGCUUCUCGUGAUAUGCAUAUUUUUGGAGCCAUAGGUUGUGGAGCAAGCAGUGUAGUUCAGAGAGCAAUAUAUGUACCCAUUCACCGAAUUUUGGCCCUGAAGAAGAUAAACGUAUUUGAGAAGGAGAAAAGGCAACAACUUCUUAAUGAGAUAAGGACACUAUGUGAGGCAUCUUGCUAUCCGGGUUUAGUUGAAUUCCAUGGAGCAUUUUAUUCCCCUGACUCAGGACAAAUUAGUAUUGCCCUGGAAUACAUGGAUGGGGGUUCACUUGCAGAUGUUUUGAGGGUGAAGAAAUGUAUACCAGAGCCAGUUCUUUCACAUAUGGUUCAAAAAUUGCUGCGAGGGUUGAGCUACUUGCAUGGGACAAGACAUCUAGUGCACAGAGAUAUAAAGCCUGCAAAUUUGCUCAUAAAUCUCAAGGGGGAGCCGAAAAUUACUGAUUUUGGAAUAAGUGCAGGCUUAGAGAAUUCAAUGGCGAUGUGUGCUACCUUCGUUGGUACUGUUACUUACAUGUCACCUGAGAGAAUUCGAAAUGAGAACUACUCAUACCCAGCUGACAUUUGGAGCCUUGGAUUAGCCAUAUUUGAAUGCGGCACAGGAAAAUUUCCAUAUACAGCAAACGAAGGACCUGCCAAUCUUAUGUUGCAGAUCUUGUAUGACCUAUCACCUACACCUCCGGAGGACUCAUACUCACCAGAGUUCUGCUCAUUUGUUGAGGCUUGCCUGCAGAAAGAUGCUGAUGCAAGGCCAACAGCUGAGCAGGUGAGAAAACUUCUAUCGCAUCCAUUUAUUAGGAAAUAUGAGAACACCAAUGUGGACUUGGCAGAAUAUGUUCGAAGUGUUUUUGAUCCAACACAGAGGUUAAAGGAAAUAGCAGAUGUGAGCAUCUGGCCUGCUAAAAUGCGCUGUAUGUGCAUCUAUGUAAUAUACAUAGAUGACAACAGUAGUUCUUUGAAUGCUGACUGUACACUAUUACUUGCUUUUUGAUCGAGCUGAUGGGCUUUGGCAUCAUACUAAAUUAUUCUAUAAUGAAAGUUCAACUUUCAGCUUCGCAGGAAAACAGUAUGUUGGACAGAAUGAUAUAUUUGCAAUUCUAUCAGAUAUAAGGAGAAAAUUAGCAGGUGAUCGGCCCCAAGAGAAACUUGUGCAUGUUGUGGAGAAGCUUCAGUGUCGCCUGCAUGGGGAAGACGGGGUUGCAAUUCGUGCGUCAGGAUCCUUCAUCGUUGGAAACCACUUUCUUAUAUGUGGAAAUGGGAUGCAAGCCGAAGGAAUGCCCAAUAUGCAAGAACUAUCACUUGAUGUUGCUAGUAAGCGUGUGGGGACUUUUCAUGAGCAGUUCAUAAUGGGUCCAGGAAGUUGUAUUGGAUGCUUCUUCAUAGUAAGGCAGGAGCUGUACAUACGGCAAACAUAGCAACAAACAAUGGAGUGAUAUCAUAAGGUCAGUGUAGUUAAAGAUUCUUUUGCUAGUAACUUAUGAAAUUCUACCUUGAUGUUUUCUGUUGAUUAACCUUGUACCUCAAAAAUUGAAUUAGGACACUAGAAUAAUCUCCUUACGAACUUUGAAGGGUGUAUUGCUACUAUUAGUGCCAUUGUGUACAUUUAGGAGCAACGUGUCCUCUAAUUGACUAAUAUAAUUCUUUUAGGCAUGUAGUUCUUAAUGUAUGUAUGAAAGUAAGAGCAACAAGCAGUAGAUUUUCCCCUUGUUUAA